AGAAUUUUGACGGUAUUAAUUUUCCAGAGAAAUAUGUAAUUGAAUCGAUAAUUCACGUUAAUUUUACUUAUUUUAUUUUUGUAUAUCUCCGUUAUUAGAUUUUAUUAAAUAUUUUUAAAAAUUUCUUAAUAAAUAUUUUUAUUAAAUCAGGUCAAGGUGCAAAAUAAAUAAGUUAUUAUGUAUUUCAAUCAAAAAUAUUGUAGUGGAUAAAUAUUGAAAUAAUUUUUGAAAUUGAAUCUGUAAGUAAUAUAAUAUAAAAAUUUAUUUGAAAUAAAAUUUAAU
rnacentral:rRNA from 1 species